rnacentral:rRNA from 1 species
UACGUAGGUGACAAGCGUUAUCCGGAUUUAUUGGGCGUAAAGCGCACGCAGGCGGUCUAUCAAGUCUGACGUGAAAUCUCUCGGCUUAACCGGGAGCGGUCGUUGGAAACUGAUGGACUUGAGGCGAUGAGAGGGGUGUGGAAUUCCCGGUGUAGUGGUGGAAUGCGUAGAUAUUGGGAGGAACACCAGUGGCGAAGGCGGCUCACUGGACCGGUACUGACGCUGAUGCGCGAAAGCGUGGGGAGCAAACGGG